rnacentral:rRNA from 1 species
AACGAACGCUGGCGGCAUGCCUAACACAUGCAAGUCGAACGAGACCUUCGGGUCUAGUGGCGCACGGGUGCGUAACGCUUGGGAACCUGCCCUUAGGUUCGGAAUAACUCCCCGAAAGGGGUGCUAAUACCGGAUAAUGUCUUCGGACCAAAGAUUUAUCGCCUUUGGAUGGGCCCGCGUUGGAUUAGCUAGUUGGUAGGGUAAAAGCCUACCAAGGCGACGAUCCAUAGCUGGUCUGAGAGGAUGAUCAGCCACACUGGGACUGAGACACGGCCCAGACUCCUACGGGAGGCAGCAGUGGGGAAUAUUGGACAAUGGGGGAAAGCCUGAUCCAGCAAUGCCGCGUGAGUGAUGAAGGCCUUAGGGUUGUAAAGCUCUGUUACCCGGGAAGAUAAUGACAGUACCGGGAGAAUAAGCUCCGGCUAACUCCGUG